GGGACUGAGACACGGCCCAGACUCCUGCGGGAGGCAGCAGUGGGGAAUAUUGCACAAUGGGGGGAACCCUGAUGCAGCAAUGCCGCGUGGGUGAAGAAGCACUCCGGUGCGUAAAGCCCUGUCAGCAGGGAAGAAAAUGACAGUACCUGGACAAGAAGCCCCGGCUAACUACGUGCCAGCAGCCGCGGUAAUACGUAGGGGGCAAGCGUUAUCCGGAUUUACUGGGUGUAAAGGGAGCGCAGGCGGCGUGGCAAGUCAGAUGUGAAAACCCGGGGCCCAACCCCGGGAGUGCAUUUGAAACUGCCAUGCUGGAGUGCCGGAGAGGUAAGCGGAAUUCCUAGUGUAGCGGUGAAAUGCGUAGAUAUUAGGAGGAACACCAGUGGCGGAGGCGGCUUACUGGACGGUAACUGACGCUGAGGCUCGAAAGCGU
rnacentral:rRNA from 1 species